GCGGCGGCGCCCGGGGGACGGGUCUGCGCCCCAUCARGYWGACGGSGGGGGUGAAAGGCCCACCGUGGCGACGACGGGUAGCCGSCCCGAGAGGGUGGACGGCCACAUUGGGRCUGAGAACGGCCCAGACUCCUACGGGAGGCGGCAGCUAAGGAUCUUCCGCAAUGGGCGAAAGCCUGACGGAGCGACGCCGCGUGGACGAUGGAGGCCGUGAGGUUGUAAAGUCCUUUUCCGUGGGGUGAAGAGCCGUGCCAGGGAAUAGGUGCGGGGUGACGUGACCACGGGAAUAAGCCCCGGCUAACUACGUGCCAGCAGCCGCGGUAACACGUAGGGGGCGAGCGUUGUUCGGAAUCAUUGGGCGUAAAGGGCGCGCAGGCGGCUGCGGGAGCCCGGCGUGAAAUCCACAGGCCCAACCUGUGGGGGUCGCCGGGGACUCCGCGGCUGGAGUCCAGGAAGCGGUUCAGGAAUUCCCGGUGUAGGGGUGAAAUCUGUAGGGAAUCGGGAAGAACACCAAUGGGAAGGCGUGGGCCGGGCCAUGGACUGACGYUGAGGCGCGAAGG
rnacentral:rRNA from 1 species